ACGAACGCUGGCGGCGUGCUUAACACAUUCAAGUCGAACGGAAAGGCCCUGCUUUUGUGGGGUGCUCGAGUGGCGAACGGGUGAGUAACACGUGAGUAACCUGCCCUUGACUUUGGGAUAACUUCAGGAAACUGGGGCUAAUACCGGAUAGGAGCUCCUGCUGCAUGGUGGGGGUUGGAAAGUUUCGGCGGUUGGGGAUGGACUCGCGGCUUAUCAGCUUGUUGGUGGGGUAGUGGCUUACCAAGGCUUUGACGGGUAGCCGGCCUGAGAGGGUGACCGGCCACAUUGGGACUGAGAUACGGCCCAGACUCCUACGGGAGGCAGAAGUGGGGAAUAUUGCACAAUGGGCGGAAGCCUGAUGCAGCAACGCCGCGUGCGGGAUGACGGCCUUCGGGUUGUAAACCGCUUUCGCCUGUGACGAAGCGUGAGUGACGGUAAUGGGUAAAGAAGCACCGGCUAACUACGUG
rnacentral:rRNA from 1 species